UGCAGUCGAACGCUUCUUUCCUCCCGAGUGCUUGCACUCAAUUGGAAAGAGGAGUGGCGGACGGGUGAGUAACACGUGGGUAACCUACCCAUCAGAGGGGGAUAACACUUGGAAACAGGUGCUAAUACCGCAUAACAGUUUAUGCCGCAUGGCAUAAGAGUGAAAGGCGCUUUCGGGUGUCGCUGAUGGAUGGACCCGCGGUGCAUUAGCUAGUUGGUGAGGUAACGGCUCACCAAGGCCACGAUGCAUAGCCGACCUGAGAGGGUGAUCGGCCACACUGGGACUGAGACACGGCCCAGACUCCUACGGGAGGCAGCAGUAGGGAAUCUUCGGCAAUGGACGAAAGUCUGACCGAGCAACGCCGCGUGAGUGAAGAAGGUUUU
rnacentral:rRNA from 1 species